GUUAAAAUCCUUUAAUUAAACCUGGAAUUCUGCACUUCAGUUACUUUGUAAUUGUUUGCUCUGGUAGUGAUGUCCUUUGUGGAUGUAGAGCGAAAAGAAAAGUGUCAUUGUACAACUAUUUAUGGACUUGGCUGCAUGUUUACACUCUGAUACCCAGGGUAUUGUGUAGUACUACCACAUACUAAGUUUUAUAAAACUUAGAAUGUGGCUGUUGAAAUGCAAAAUCAGCCUAAUAAUCGUUCAAGAGCGAGUGUCAGGGCUCUCACCAUUUAUACAAAAAUAUUUUUUAAUAUUGAUUACUUAUAACCUGCCUCUCGCCCUAAGACAGCUGGGAUAGGCUCCAGCCCCCCAACGACCCUGAAAAAGGAUAAGCUGAAGCGAAUGGAUAGAUGGACAAUCACUUAUAUAAAAUACCAUCACACAGAUAUGACUAGAGGAAUCAGAGAAAAUGUUUUGGUUGGUUGGUUUUGGUUUUGUAAUAUUUCAGUUAUGAAAACUACAGGAACUAUAUGUUGCCAUGAUUGAGCACCAUAUCAAAACACACUUCCCAAAGGGAAGAACUAUUUUGGACCUGAACUAGAGUUCUGGUCCAAACACACUGACCCAGAGCUGGUGUGACUGGGUUGGCAGCCUUGACACUUGUCAACUUCAUCUCAGUCCAUCCUUUUAAAAAAUGGACUUGGUCAGUCUCCACCUUGUUACGCUGACCUGCAGCUAAACAGAUUCACUGAGGAACUGAUCCUUAUUGGUUCAGACAGGAACAGAGUUUGGGCUCUGCAAAGAAGCACACGCCAGCUCGGAUCACUGUCACAGACAUCAGAAGGAAGUUUGCCAAUUCAACCCCGAGCCUACUGUGACCCACAUUCCACAGUCCGUGUUUGUUUCAUUUUUAUAGGUAUGUGUAAAAUUUUCAGUCUGCCAAGAAGGUUAAAGUUUGUUCAGGCACACACGUUAGCCUAGUGCUGUCUGCAUAUGAAUUUUCUCUAUUUUUUCAGUUUUAUUGUGAUUAAAUGAAAAAUAUGUCAUCGUUUAAUUGUUAGUUGUGACUUUUACUCAUCUUUUUCUAAUUUCUAAUUUCUCUAUAGCAACCUAUAGCAAAUUCAUAUUUGCUGGCAUCUUCUUCCUGAUGGGACUCUUCGUUUCAUAUGGCUUCAACGACACGAUCUAUCCUCCCUUCCAUGUGGAUGUAAAUUACACGAUUAAACACACAGACCUGAAGUAAUGGUCUGGAAGAGACAGCUAUGUUUCAGUUCAGGGGAAAGAGUUACCUGUCUGAGCUGUUGUGGAAACUUUGGCUCUUUGGAAAUACAAACCUCCUCCAUGACUCCAUUCACCUAGAAAACAAGUAAGGCUGACACAGUUUUCACCUCUGUCAACAGUGUCCCACUACUGGACUGCUUUUAGCUCCCUAUUUAAAGGCAGUGCUCACUAAUGAACUGCAGAACCUCCCGACCAUCUAUCCACUACUUCUUCAUUCAGUCGUUGUCAAUAAAAUAAAUCUUAAACUUCCCAGCUGUUCUUUGAGUCUGCUCUCUGGGUCUACAAUUAGCCACAUUAUUACAGGAAGCAGUCAUCUAUAAAACUGAAUAAAUCUCAUUCAAC
ensembl:lncRNA